AUACGGAGGAUCCGAGCGUUAUCCGGAUUUAUUGGGUUUAAAGGGUGCGCAGGCGGCCAUUUAAGUCAGCGGUUAAAUCGUGGGGCUCAACCCCAUUCUGCCGUUGAUACUGGGUGGCUUGAUUGCGGUCGAGGUUGGCGGAAUUCGUUGUGUAGCGGUGAAAUGCAUAGAUAUGACGAAGAACACCGAUUGCGUAGGCAGCUGACCAGACCGCAAAUGACGCUCAUGCACGAAAGUGCGGGGAUCGAACAGGAUUAGAUACCCUGAUAGUCCGCACAGUAAACGAUGAAUACUUGUUUUCGGCGAUAUAAUGUCGGAGGCAAAGCGAAAGCGAUAAGUAUUCCACCUGGGGAGUACGCCGGCAACGGUGAAACUCAAAUGAAUUGACGGGG
rnacentral:rRNA from 1 species